GCCUGGGUGGCUCAGUGGUUGAGCAUCUGCCUUUGGCUCAGGUUGUGAUCUUGGGGUCCUAGGAUCAAGUCCCACCUCAGGCU
rfam:Canis lupus familiaris chromosome 4, whole genome shotgun sequence.